AUUGAACGCUGGCGGCAGGCCUAACACAUGCAAGUCGAACGAGUGGCGGACGGGUGAGUAAUGUCUGGGAAACUGCCUGAUGGAGGGGGAAAACCACUGGAAACGGUAGCUAAUACCGCAUACCAUCGGAUGUGCCCAUAUGGGAUUAGCUAGUAGGUGGGGUAAAGGCUCACCUAGUCAACGAUCCCUAGCUGGGCUGAGAGGAUGAACAGCCACAAUGGAACUGAGACACGGUCCGGACUCCUACGGGAGUCAGCAGUGGGGAAGAUUGCACAAUGGGCGAAAGCCUGAUGCAGCCAUGCCGCGUGUAUGAAGAAGGCCUUCGGGUUGUAAAGUACUUUCAGCGGGGAGGCGUUACCCGCAGAAGAAGCAUCGGCUAACUCCGUGCCAGCAGCCGCGGUAAUUC
rnacentral:rRNA from 1 species